UGUGUAGGCGGUUCUCUAAGUUUGGUGUGAAAUCUCCCGGCUCAACUGGGAGGGUGCGCCGAAAAACUGGGGGGCUAGAGUGCGGGAUGGGAGAGUGGAAUUCCUGGUGUAGCGGUGAAAUGCGUAGAUAUCAGGAGGAACACCGGUGGUGCAGACGGCUCUCUGGACCGUAACUGACGCUGAGACACGAAAGCGUGGGUAGCAAACAGGAUUAGAUACCCUGGUAGUCCACGCCCUAAACGAUGCAUAUUUGGUGUAGGUCAUUCAGUUGAUCUGUGCCGGAGCUAACGCGUUAAAUAUGCCGCCUGGGGAGUACAGUCGCAAGGCUGAA
rnacentral:rRNA from 1 species